UAAUCGAGCAGCCCUAUGGUGGAGUAAACUUUCUUGACUUCUCCUCAUUAAACAAUGUGUUUAAAAUAAACUGGAUUAAACAAUUUUUCAGGAACCCAACCUCAAUUUGGAACUUUAUUCCCAAUUAUAUUUUCUCAAAAAUUGGUGGUCUUAACUUUCUUUUGCUUUGUAAUUACAAUAUCGAUAAAAUCCCUUUAAAACUAUCCAACUUUCAUAAACAAAUGCUUCUUUCCUGGUCAUUGAUUUAUAAACACAACUUUUCUCCACAUAGAUACUAUAUUUGGAACAAUAGAGAGAUUUUAUACAAACAUAAGUCUGUGUUUAUAAGUAAGUGGUUUGAUAAUGGGAUUCAUCGUGUUUCACAACUUAUAAAUCCAGCUGGAGGUUUACUCUCUUACUCAGAAUUUUUGAAUACAUAUGGUCUUCCUGUUCCACCAAAGGAAAGUUUGAUGCUAUCCCUGCUGGGGUCUUAAUGUUGUUUAGAAAUCCUGUUGUUAAUGAUUUGACCCCUUUACCACUGGAUCCUGCUGUUACUUAUGUUGGUCAGGUGUGGUUCCCCUCUGUAAGGAGGAAAAACAACCGUGAAAUACGAACUCUGUUUCAAAAAGACAGAACUUGUGUCCCAACGGCUGUCGCCUACUGGAAUAACUUAUACCAGGACCUGGAAUGGGAGAAGAUUUGGACCUUACCGUUGAAAUUUCUAUUAAAUAACAAAGUAAAGGAAAUAUCUUUUAAUGUUAUUCAUCGUUUUUACCCAACCAGAUCUUUUCUUGUACGUUAUAAAAAGGACAUUGAUGUUAACUGUACAUGUUGUAAUUGUGUGAAGGAAGAUAUUUCUCAUUUAUUUUGGUCAUGCUCAUACACGAAUCUUUUCUGGCAAGAAUUUUGUGUUUUUGUUGUUUCCUUUAUCCUUUCUGAGUUCUCUCUUUGUUACGAGAAAAUAUUGUUUGGUUUCUUUAACGACCCCAUGCACAGGGCAAACAAAUUUUAUUUGAUUAAUUUAUUGAUAUUAUUGGCUAAAUUUCAUAUACAUAAGUCGAAAUUUUCUAACGCAAAACCAUCCUUUCAGUGCUUUUUAACUGAAACCAAACAAUAUGUUAAAACCAUACAACAUUCUCAAAAUCUAAAAGCUGUCAAAACCAUAAACUUAUGUUCCCUGUUCAAUAUCAUCUGAUUCUUUAAUAGACUGUGUCUAUUUUGUUUUUGUAUACGAACCCCCUGACAUUGUGUUUGCUAUUUUGUAUUUGUAUAUUUGUAUUUUGUGAUUUGUCAAUAAAGCGUAUUCAAAAAAAAAAGGGGGGGGGGGCUGCAGAUAGGAUACAGGGAUACAGCCACAGAGAUUAAAAUGUGACGCCAUUUCCGGAGUAAAACCGCAAAGGAUUCUGGGAACGAGUGGCAAGCGGUACUAGCGCACGCAGGCUUUCACAUGAAAACAGUCACACCGCGAUAAAAAGAAACACAUGGCAAGAAGCUGUUGUAUUAUUAACUGCAAUAGCCGGUCGCAUGACAGCUACGGGAAGCCGACGGGUAAAGAGAUCGGUUGUUAUCGGAUUCAGUUGUGGAAGAGAAAUUGUUUAAGCCACGUUUCCGAAGUAACAAAGAGGUGACGGAUGGUCUGGAUUGCAGCCAUUCCAAGACCAAAUAUAACGUCCCAGAACACUCCAGCUCACAUGUUAGUCUGCUCCAAGCAUUCCCACAAAGGUCAGUCUGCUGUUGUAGUUAAUACGUAAUUUAUCACAACAUAACUGUUGAUGUAGGUUACAAAUAAGUCUCAUAUUGAUUUGAAUUGAAUUCGUUGCUAUGCUGCUUUGUUCGUGGUGGCUUUGCGGGCUAAUGUUUGCCAAUUUUUUGAUGUGUAUUGUAGGAAAACCAGCCUACAAAAUGCAGGAAUGCAAUCCAGACUGGGCCCCUCUAUCAGCCUGGGUUUAAAGCUGCUACCACAGCCAGAUUUGAUCGGUUAAGAGAGAGAGCGAGAUCCAAACAGCCACGAAACGUCUGCAUAUAUGUGCCCAAGUGUUGUAUUGAAGCAAGCAAGUGAUGAAUAACUGUUUUCCAGUAUGUUGGAGGUUUUUCAUUAUUGAUUUGUUUUUCACCGAAGCAGCUAAUAAAGCACGAUGAAAUACAAUGUUGCCUCUUUCUUGUAAGAUUCUAUAACAGAAUGAAACAAUAAUGCCAGUUAAAAAUAAAGACAAUAAUUGAAUGAAUUACAAAACACUUUUUUUUCCUAUUAGAUCUGAAAAUGUUGUGUAACACUACAACCUGAAACGACAAAUAGAUGCGUUGGCCUGUAACAACAGCUGUGAGAUGGAAUCGUCCAAAUCACCAAAGUAAACUGGGCCUCAUGUUGUGAGUGUAUGCACUCACGCUUAGGACCAUAUAAUAAUAAAUAUGUGCGUGAUGAAAGUUGUGCAGCACACUAACAUCCUUACUCCGGGAUUAAAACCACAGAAUUAAUGGUUACCGGUGCUGGAAAUACUAGUGUUUGAUGCAGUGUUAUGAUUUAGUUGCCACUUGUACCCACAAUGCAAUGCGCGAAAGUCACGUGGUCUGUCAAUCUCUAUUCCUGCAUCUUUUGGGAUCUUACAAAGCUUCAAACGACGCGUCGACUAUCAAAAUCGUCGACGACGAAUUUAAUAGUCGACGUAAUCAUAGCUAGUUCAAGUUCAAAUUUUAUUCGCCACAUGCAGUGGCAUGAACUAGUUGACUAAUCGUGGCAGCCCUAGUUACCAAUUACUUGUUGGGCCAUGUAAUCUGUAGUGGAAUACAUUUUACACUGGUCAUCUAUGAUGAGUGAAAACCCUGUGACGGUCUCAGUUAUGGUCAGUGUGGAACCCCCCCCCUUCUUUGUUUUGCUCUGUAACUUUGCACUGUCCUCUUUCUGCUGUAACAAAACUAAUUUCCCACAUGUGCGACUAAUAAAGCUUAUCUUAUACCUGUGGGUCCUCCAGUCACAUGUUCAAGGUGAGCACAGGUGAAUGAGUGAGUGAAGAUCGGAUCAAAGCACAUCAGAGUGGACCUGAUGAGCCUGUGUUGCUUUAAAGCUCAGAAAUUUGCUGCACAUGUCCAAUAAAAAUGUUUUCAUGGCGCAGGUGGCCAGGUUACAGCCCCUCAGAUGAGACCAGCAGGAAAAUAACCAAGUACAUUUACUGAAGUACUUCCCUCAAAUUUAACAUACCUGUAAUUUCUGCGUGAUGCUGCUUCCUGUUUCUACUGUAUUUCUGAUGCAGAUAUUGUGGUUUAUACUCUAAACUAUUUGGAGUACAGAUAAUCACCAAGUAUAAGUUAUGCACAGCUUCUGGAUGUAAGAAAUGUACACAUCAAUAAUUAUGAUGCAUUAGUAACAUGUAUAUGUUUGUAAUGUGGAGCAUGUUUGUUUCACGUCUGUGCUGUUAUAAGUUUUACUUCAGUAAAAGUCUAAAAACUUUCUUCCCACACAGACUCUGUUUAAUCUGCAACUCCACGUGUCUCAUGAUCAGGCUGCACAUCUUAUUUCUGAUUGGUGUAACAGGUAUGUGUCACAUCUGAUGGUUUUCAGGUGUGUCCUGGAUCCUGGUUCUUUCUGCUUGGAGUAAGGUAAGAGGAUGGGAACCUAUACGGAAGUGCGCGUGCAUGCCGGAAAAACAUGAAGUCAAUUAUAGUCAAAGUCAGUAAAUUGCUGUGUUUUUAAAGAGUCACAACUACAUUUUACUUUCUGUUUGUAGUAAUUUUAAACAUAUUUGAAUGAUUUUUAUUGCCAAUUAAAACAUUUUAAAGUGUGAAUAUUCCACUUUUUUCUCUCCAAAUGUUAGCUUACCAUUUUAACGUUUUGUGGUCAUUCGAUUUGCCCGUUUCUAAGCUCAAAAAGGAGCUUUAAUGCAUUUGAUUUUUUCCCUUUCAAGUCAAUUUCUGGUUGAUUAUUUUUAAUGAUUUAUUUAUUCUUUGCAUUGUUUGCCUGAAUAUAAAAAUUCAGUUUUGUAUUUUUUUUUUUUACUGCUUUUUAUUUCAUUGAAUUCUUUGAUGUUGUUUUGAUGAUCAAGCCUGCAAUCGGCUGAUUGGCCGAUGGUCUGUCAGCUGUUUGUUCUGUGCUGGAUAAAUAAAGUUUGGUUGAAGUGAAGGACCAGUGCUUUUGUUUGUUUUUGUUUCCUGUCUGUAAACAACAUAAAUUAAAAAUAAGUUGAAAUUCGUCUUGGAGCUCUGUCAGUCUGAUGCUAACUGAAAACAUCUGGGGGAACAUCUGUCCUCAUAGGUGAGCUGAUUGGCUGCUGAAGCAGAUGUGCAGGUUCACAGAAGCUCAUUCAGAUGAAAAUAU
ensembl:lncRNA